CCUUGGUCCGCCCCUAUCCGUUAGGUGCCUGGAGGUGGUGCACUUGGGGCUUCCCCGGGGCCCCAGGUUCCCAGUCCUUAAUGGUCCUUAACCCACUGUGAUGACUUCCUAGGCCUUGUGGAAAGGGAAGGAGAAGGAAUGGCUGCUAGUGGCUCACAGAGAAGCCAGACCCCUGGAAUCCUCAGGGGGAGCCUUCGGUGGGGCCAGUAACCCCGAGGUCCUGUCCUUGGAGGCAGGAGACACCCACCCCCAGGGGAUAUAGAGCAGCCCUCCCUCCUCACCCCUCACCUCAGGGCCACUAGAUGACCCUGGGGUGAUGGUGGACCCCCACAUUCACAGGCCCCCGGCCCCCUGGGAAGGGGGCUCUUUGACCCUUUGGGGGUCCGUGGACUCACUGAUGCCCCCCUGGGGGCCCGGGGAGUCCAACAAUGACAUUGCAAAAAGGUUUCUUUUUACAAAAGAAAAAGGAAAAA
rnacentral:lncRNA from 1 species